ensembl:lncRNA
GUUAGGAGAUAAUCUGUGAUAGUUGUUGUUCCUUGAGAUCCGAGAUAUUUCCCAGUGGACAGUGGGGCUGUGGAUUAAUGUGCAAUAAGCAAUAAACCAGGAGAGUGAGAGAGCGAAAUAGAGAGAGAGAGAGAGAGAGAGAGAUAGGUGUGGCUGCAACGUGGUCAUCAACCCAGUCGAGCAGCUGCACGAUGCCGCUGCGCCUCCGUGUGACAGUGGUGAUCUUCCUCACGUUUGUCUCCACGGUGCCAGCUCCGGUCGGUUCGACUCCGCGUCUCCAACACGGACUGUGGUGGUAUCCUUAAGGUCGAUAAACAUAAACAGCUGUGGAUGGUUGCUGGUGUGCUGAUGCUGGAUGUGGACCGUAGAGUUUAAAGCGUUUGGCUUAAAAGCUCAGAGUCAACAAGUUAAAAUCCAGACAAUAAUCUAAACGAUUCAAAUCGUUGCGCAGCGUAAAACUCUGCAGAGGAAAAAGAGGAGGAGCAGGAGACUGGAUCCAGAACCACAGACAGCAAAAAUAGAGAUGCAAUAAUUUAGUGGGUUUCGCUGACCUUCCACUUCAACGCCUCCUGUGAACUCUCUCUGGUCAGGUUAUAGGAACCGAAAUAGGUAACAACGUUUUUUGCAUGACAAAUAAGGAUGGAGCAAGUUCUACUUCUUCUUCUUGUGAUGUUACCAGGUGGAAUUCAUGCUAUUUUUUCAGCUCCAGCUGCUGAGACUAAAUGUGAUGCCACUCAGAGUCUACACACACCGUGCACUGUUGUUCUUGGAGGAUCUGUGUAUAUUCAAGUGAUGACCAAUGCUAGUGGCCUUACUGUGCGGUGUAAGAAAGUGCAGCACUCUGGAUACGCAACUGUUUUCGGUCUGAAGAAAGAAGAGGUGUCGAUAGAGGAGAAAUUUAAAAACAGAACACAGUUUUUUAUCAACAAUGGGACGCUCAAGAUCACAAAUGUGGAGAAAAGUGAUUCAGGUCAAUACUUCUCAGAGGUCUUUGAUCUAAAUGGGAUUUUUAUUGAGAAACAACACUGUUCAGCUGGAUGUUCAAGAAUACACCGCAUGGUCUCUUGUCACCAUGCCGACCCACAUACCAGUCGCAGUUGGUUCUGUAGUCGGCAUACUGCUAGUGAUAGCAGUGAUAGUUUGCAUAUGUCGUAGGAAGUCAGCACCCUCAGGUAAACGAUCCUCUUCUUCAAUUUGAACAGUUCCCCAGUUGGCGCUGAACCACAGGCUCCAAGAACCAGUACAAAACAGACGCGUUAGAGAAAUGCUCAUUCAGAUUUUACUGGAUGAGAGUAAAGAGGUGUAAAUUCUUAUUUUUGUCUCCUAUUUGAUCAAAAAUAAUUUGAUGUAUAGUAAUAUUGUUGUUGAGUCAACUGUAAACAACAAGAUAUCUGUCUAAAGCUUUACUUAAGUACGUGUAAGAUAUGUGAGUUUAAUUUUUUUAAACCAAAUUAAAGUUUUCAAAAUUCAGGAUGUGUCUUAAUUGUUAUCCUUCACCCAUGUUUAAAAUAUGGUUGAAUCAUUGAUUAAAAAAGAAAACCGUGAUAUAGUAUCUAUUAUCAGAAGUUUGAAUAUAGUCUUAAAACUUUUAAAUAAAGGCUGAAGUUGCUGUUUAUGUCUCAGUCUACACCAUUAUUAGUAGUCUGAUAAACAAGGCUAUGUAGUACAGUAUUAUUAAAUGUAACAAAAGAUUUAUUAAUGUAAACAAACCUUGAACAGCACCACAAACCAUUACUAAAUAUGAUGUUGGUACUGACUUUAAAUAAUAUCAAGAAUCACAUAGCUAAAAUAUUUUUUGUCUGUCUGUUAGUUGAUGCUGAUAACUGCUGAUAACUCAUAACUCCUGCAGUGCUGUGACAACAUAUGCUUAGUUUGUUUUAGUUUCACUCAAAUUAUGUCACAGUCAAGUAACAUUUGUUUACUGUAUGUAAUUUUUAGCUUUUGUUCACAGCAUGAAUGGAGAAAUCAUGAGAAGACUGCAGAUCUUAGUUGCAGAGAUGGUUGCUGUAAACACCAUAAAUAUGUAAUUUGGUGUAACAGAGAUUAAAGUUAAUCAGUGCAAAACUCAACUGAAACCAGAAAAUGUAAAAAAGGAUGCAGUGCACUUCUAACAUACAUGGUGGAUUUUGCAUAAUAUGGACACUUUAAUUAUACCUACCUGGACUUGGUGUUGAUCAGUCUACGUUUGGAGGAAGUGGAUUUUGUAGAAUGCAGCAGAAAGUCAAGAGAAGGUCUUUGUGGGAAAAGUUCAGUCUAUUGUUUGAUAUAGUUUUGUAUCACUUCCCUCACUGGUUCUCCUCAUAGAGCAAGAUGAACAUACUACAUGAAACUUCAACCAUUUCAAGACUUCUACAUUAUCUGGUCUCCAGCAACCUAUUUGAGGGCACUAGCUCAGUUUUCUAUGACGCAUUAUUUUAAGUAAAUUCACUGAAUGUGCCACUUAAAGGUUUAACAAUCUGCACAAUAUAAAUGUGUAACAAUAUGAAUUAAAUUCUGCUUCCUUCACCAUGUUGUGGAUAACAAAACAAUAAUUUAUGUAUGACGAUAUUGUUUGAGGUUUUAAGGGCACUUUAAAUAAUAAUAAUGUGUAGAGAAAGUUAAUCUUUGUUUAUAUACAGGAAUAUGAGAAUUAGACACCAACACGAUUUCAGUUAUAGGUUUACACUGAUUUACUUUAAACUCUGUUACACUAAAUUACAUAUUCAUGGUUUUGACAACAACUGUCUAUGCAACUAAGAACUGCAGUCUUCUUAUGAUUCCUCUAUACAUGCUGAAAACAAAAUAGUACUCUAGUUUGAAGACUGAUAAAUAAAAUGUGUAUGCACUGAUAGUAUACUCAAAUACUUUACUGUAUUUUGGUAUCCUGCACUGCCCAUCAACUCCUGCUAAAGCCUUUCACUUGAGUUUCAUUAGAUGAUGCUGAAGCUAUGCAACACGGCCUACAUAGAUUACAUCAUAACAAAAUUAUUUAAUCGUUCUUCUUUUUUUUUUUGAGCUCUUAGUGUUAACUUGCUCUGUGCUCUGCCUGUAUAAAAACAUAUACAUAUGUUUACUUGUUUCACUUCUUCUUUUAGUUUUUAUAUUUAGAUAUUUUUUGUCAGCGGGUAAUUGUUGUACUAAGGGCUCACUGACAUGCUUUAGCGUAGGCGUGCAUGAGCCAGAUGAUGAGGAUUGAUGUAGGGUUUCUGAGAUGUUUGUCCUCAUGCCCAAUUCUUCCGUCUCUGCACUGAACUGCCGAGGUUCUGUUACUGUAGGAAUCUGCACAGAUUUUCUGUUACCAAAUAACCUUGUGCAGUGAAUCUCUGAAGAGUAUAUGCACAGUUUGACUUAUUUUGACUGCAUGUAAUGCUUAUGGUUGAACCUGAAGGUCUAACCGCAGUAAAAUAUGUCUGCAAAUUUCAUUUGCACUCAGUUACUAUGAAUACAGAGGAAACAGCAGAUAGAGACAAAGCUGAAUCAUAGUUGGAACAUGAUGAUACAUCAGAGGUAAAAAUACACCAUAACUGAAGACAUCAUCGGAGGAUGGACUUAUAGGGAAAGUGCACAAGUUGGUAAGGAAAAUCCUUUCUCACAUAUAACUUUGUUAAAAAAGACAAAAACACCAAUAAUACAGCAUGGAGGAAAUAAUUAGAUUAGUGUAAUGAGGUACAAAACAGAUAAGUUAUUUACUCCCUGUGAUGAAACCUUUUGAAUCAAAAACCUGAGCAGAAAUAAUGUUGCUGAAUAUGAGAUUUGAAGUCUAAUUAUUUAAUAUAAAUCAAACCUCCACAUAUAUGUUUAACCAUUUAGUUAAGUUGCUUCAGUAUUGCUCAUGACUGAUGACUUUGGUGUUCCAAAAGUUGAAUUUCAGACGUUGUCAGUUUUAGCAGGUAUGAGGUUUCCUUCUACUGGUUUACAGAGGCAUUGCAGUUUUGUGUUUUAUUAACUGAUGAAAAAAAAAAUUGUUUGUUUUUGGGCAUUUUCCUUCAAUCAAGUUUUCAGUGGAGGAUGAUAUAAUCUAACAAGAGGACAGAGAAAGAGGGGGAGAGCUACAAAAGCUUUAAAACACGACCAUCACAGAGAAACAUUAUGAGCUUUACACAGAAAUGUGAGUAGGUCUAAACAGGUAAAAUGAUGCAAGUGAAGACCCUUGAUGUAUGGCACUAUGUCAUGUCAGAUAAUGUUUUUUUGACAAAUUAAUGCAGAAAACCACAUGACAUCUGUCAGUUUCAGUUUAAGAGAUCUGUUAUUGUAUUUGUACCUGACUUUGCUGAAAGAGGAAUAUACACAUCUUAGAAAUGUCUGCCCUCAGACCUUUUUGUAAGCUAAAGGCGAAACCACUUCCUUUUCUUAACUCUCUGCUCUCAAAUAGAUGAAUAUAACAAUGCUAAACAUAGUCACAGUUUUCACACAUUUACCCCACAGGCCAAACACCAUCGGGGCACAUUUAGGGGCAUGAUGCACAUGAGAGCUUUGUCUGUAAGCUGGUAACUGGGCCAGCAGCUGCUGAUGGAAACUGUGGUUAGGCGAAAGGUGAUGCUGCUUGGAGUCUCUCAAGGUGAAUUGUUCAAUUUAUGUUAUUCAUAUUAUGCACAGUUUGUACAGUUUGACAUCAUCGUGAUGGGACAUUUAGGAUUGUGGACAGGACAUUUGGUCUGAUCAGUCAGAAAUGAUGUCAGCAGUAUCUCUAAGGAAGUGAACAUGCUUAUGUAUGGUGAGUGAGAUCAGGAGUAGAAAAGAGCUGAUGAUGUUAACGCUGAUGAUGUCACUGUCUGUUUCUUCACCCACAGACUUCAUUAGUACUGUAGAUAAGGAGAUAGACCUCCAUGUCAGAAAAAGGUAAAACACAACAUAACCUAAACAACAAGAAGGUUUCAGUUUAUCAGUGAAUGGAAUUAAACUCUGUCUCGGUUAAACAUAAAGGUAACGUUAUUGAUUUGAGAUGGUUUAAAGAGGCACAGGUCAACUCAUACAGCUAAGAUACAUACUUAUUACUGGUCCUUCACAACAUUCACAUACACACAUAGUUUUUAUUGAGAAACAAACAGUUUUUUUAAUAUUAGGUCUAACAUGCCCCCAAUUCAAAUAGUUAGUGGUUUUAAUUCAUGUGUAACAUAUAAUGCAUCAAAUACAUGUGGUCUGCUCAGUCAGAAUGUGAAAAAAAACAUUACAAUAAAUUGGUCACAUCACAUCACUUGGCUGUUUUGGCAGUUGUUAGUUUCAAAUCAUCUUUGUGACACCAAAUCAGUAAAACGCUACUAAUUUGGUUCACUCUCACCAAUGUUUCAUCCGCAGCAG